rnacentral:rRNA from 1 species
UACGGCUACCUUGUUACGACUUCACCCCAGUCGCUGACCUUACCGUGGCCUGCUGCCUCCUAAGUUAGCACACAGUCUUCGGGUAAAACCAACUCCCAUGGUGUGACGGGCGGUGUGUACAAGGCCCGGGAACGUAUUCACCGUGGCAUGCUGAUCCACGAUUACUAGCGAUUCCAACUUCAUGCUCUCGAGUUGCAGAGAACAAUCCGAACUGAGACGGCUUUUAGAGAUUAGCUCCCCAUUGCUGAGUGGCUGCUCACUGUCACCGCCAUUGUAGCACGUGUGUAGCCCAGCCCGUAAGGGCCAUGAUGAUUUGACGUCAUCCCCACCUUCCUCCGGCUUAUCACCGGCAGUCCCUCUAGAGUGCCCAACUAAAUGCUGGCAACUAAAGGCGAGGGUUGCGCUCGUUGCGGGACUUAACCCAACAUCUCACGACACGAGCUGACGACAACCAUGCAGCACCUGUCACCGGUCCAGCCGAACUGAAGGAAAGCAUCUCUGCUAACCGCGACCGGGAUGUCAAAAGCUGGUAAGGUUCUUCGCGUUGCCUCGAAUUAAACCACAUGCUCCACCGCUUGUGCGGGCCCCCGUCAAUUCUUUUGAGUUUUAGUCUUGCGACCGUAGUCCCCAGGCGGGGUGCUUAACGCGUUAGCUGCGUCACCAAACAGCAAGCUGCCUGACAACUAGCACCCAUCGUUU